CCCGCCUCCAGGCUGGUCAGAGAGGGAGCCCCAGCUACCGAGUGCCAACUAUGUGUCAGGCACUGUGCUAGGCACGAUGCCACCUUUAGUCCUCACCUGUGAGAGAUAGCUAUUAUGAGCCCCAUUUUAGAGAUGAGAAAAGUGAGUCUCAGGGAGGUCACGCAGCUGUUAACGAAAGGCAACCCCAGCCACGUGGACUCAAAAUGUUUGCUUUUCGUGCUACCCCACCUCCUGACUCUGCCCCCAGCACAGUCACCCCGCCCCAACCAAUCUCACAUCUGCUGACUUCCAGGCUGGAUCCAGAACUCCCACCAGGUGGGUAGGGGUGGGAUGCAGGAGGCAGGUGGGGGCCAUUGUGUAGAGGUAGUGUUGGCACUGUGAAGCUUGCAGUUUUUUCAUUCACUCAACAAAUACUUACUGAACAACACCUGUGCCCAGGCUCUGUUCUAAGCACAAACUUCUUGCCCUUGUAAAAGCUCCUGGUCAGGGAGUCAGAUGAGAAACAAUUUCAAGCGGUGAUAAGGGAGCAUUAGGAGGAAAAAUAAAGCCAGGUGAGGAGAUAAAUAAACAAAUCACUACGAUGGGAACUAAACGAAUGAGCCUUUUUAGAUGGGAGAGGGGAGAAGCCUUCUGGAAAUGUGAAGCAGAAGCAGAAACCUGGCUGAAGGACAAAAGUGAGCCAUGCAAAACCUGGGGGACAGCAUCGCAGUGGGGGGCGCAGCAAUUGCCAAGGGCCUGAGGCAGGACUGAGCUUGGCUUGACUGUGUUUGUACUGCCUGGAAGUGGGGCCUUCAGCCCUCUGUGGCUCAUCGGAAACUUUGGGCCAGGGAAGGUGUUUCUGCUCAUUCCUAUCUGCUCCCUGCUUGGCUCUUUCUAGGACCAAAGCGGGUGUCUUUAACCCCUCUAGGCUGAGCUGGCAAGACAAGUACAGAGCCCCCUUGGCCGUCUUUUUCCCGUGGUUGGCCACCUGGCCCCCGGCCUGGGCUUGGGAAAUGCUUCCGGAGUUCACACUCCUCACUGCCCACUCUGAACCCCGCUGGCGAUCAGGGCAGCACACUAUUUCCAGAUGGGCAUGGGAGACUGUUUUAUUUUUAAAAAUAGCUUUUGUUGGUUUUUGUCUUAUUACAAAAGUAAUAUUUGUUCAUUAUAGAAACUGGAGAAAACAGCUAGCAAAAGGAAGAGUAUAAAACAGCCACUAAUCCUAUUACCCAGAGAGAACCACUGCUGGCACUUGGGUAUCUCCAGAAUUUUCCAUGACUCACUGACCUGACCCCUCCAUCUCCCCAACUCACUGUGCCCCAAGGUAUCUUGGAAAAAUCCCCAAAGAAGAUAUGGCAGUUUUGUUUGUGUGGCCUGUGAGCUGGGAUGGGAGCUGAGUCCAGAGUCCAUAAGAGCCCCCACCCACUCUCCUGGGCAGCAACGAAAGACCACCAGGAAUGUCCAACAGGGAAUAGAUUUAUGGCCAAGCUAGGAGGAGCAUCCCUGUGAAGACACCUACGGAGUCGUUUCGACAGGAGAAUUUACAAGCGCCCUCCUUCGCUUGCUACUGAGUGGAAAAAUACACUGAGCCCAGAGCAGUGAACUCCUUGCCAAGGCCUGUGACUCAUCUCCAAGUCAUAAAUAACGGGUCCCUCAUGACAAAGCAGAGAAGGGAGCCGGGCCCAGGGCCACGUAUUUAUUAGAAAAGAGAGUGGAACCAUUAGUCGGGGGCUUGGUUUCCAGGAAACUCAAACCACACCACAGUAGAGAAGGUCAGGAGGCCCUUCCACAGGAAUUCAGACCUGACAUUUUUUUCAUAUUCUCAAACUUUCAUGUGGGGAGGAGACCCCUGCUACAUCCACCAGAGGCAUCCCCUGGCCACCCAGUUCCAUGGGCCAGGAGGAGUCUUGCUGUUUCCCAGGCCCUGGGGGCCACUCCACCAUCCCCUGCCCCUGAUACUUUUGAUGGCGACCAGGGGAGGCAGAACCGCCUGUCUCGGUGGCCCCACUGACAUCAGGAAACGUUUAGUGCCUGAGAAGUGUGACCUCUGACGAGUUACGACUCCUCCUGAGGCCUCCAUUUCACAAACCUUCCAGGACCGCUGUCAGAAUGAGGUGGGGGAGUAGACUCAGGACCGUGCAAGCCCAUGGGAUGAGCUCACAGCCAUGAGCGGCAUGGUCUAAGGGAAGAAGGAAAGAGAAGAGAAGAGAAAAGUUGGCUCUGCUGGUCUCUCCCUCUGGGUUGUUCCCCUUGUCUCUGUGCUCUUCUCUGUCUCUGAUUAUAAAGGACUCAGAAUCUAAAGGAUAAUAGAUGCAGAUGGAUGGAACAAUAAAUCGUGUGGACUGUUGAUAAAACCUUUGUGCUUGAAGAAAAUACAACUGUGUGUGGUUCUGAGAAGGCUGAACUCAUCAUCUCCCCCUAAACCCACUCGUGUGUGGUCAACACCACCUCCCUAGUUGUUCAGGCCAGAAAAAUGUGUGUCUAGGUUGAUACCCCACAUCACCCCUACUUCCUGCAGCAAUGACCUUUGCUCUCC
rnacentral:lncRNA from 10 species